rnacentral:rRNA from 1 species
GACGAACGCUGGCGGCGUGCUUAACACAUGCAAGUCGAACGGAAAGGCCCUGCUUUUGUGGGGUGCUCGAGUGGCGAACGGGUGAGUAACACGUGAGUAACCUGCACUUGACUUUGGGGUAACUUCAGGAAACUGGGGCUAAUACCGGAUAGGAGCUCCUGCUGCAUGGUGGGGGUUGGAAAGUUUCGGCGGUUGGGGAUGGACUCGCGGCUUAUCAGCUUGUUGGUGGGGUAGUGGCUUACCAAGGCUUUGACGGGUAGCCGGCCUGAGAGGGUGACCGGCCACAUUGGGACUGAGAGACGGCCCAGACUGCUACGGGAGGCAGCAGUGGGGAAUAUGGCACAAUGGGCGGACGCCUGAGGCAGCAACGCCGCGUGCGGGAUGACGGCCUUCGGGUUGUAAACCGCUUUCGCCUGUGACGAAGCGUGAGUGACGGUAAUGGGUAAAGAAGCACCGGCUAACUACGUG